rfam:Candidatus Nasuia deltocephalinicola str. NAS-ALF, complete genome.
AGGCUUAUAGCUCAGGGGUAGAGCAAUACUUUGACUUAGUAUUUGACAUUGGUUCGAAUCCAAUUAAGUCUA